UUAAGAAUGUGUCCCCAGCUGAUCCCUGCAA
rnacentral:piRNA from 1 species